rnacentral:lncRNA from 1 species
AUGUUCCAUGCUUUUUUAAGGUAUAUCUUUGGGAUUCUGCCACUGUUCCUAGCUUUGGUACCAGUUGGUUCAUCUGCUUCCAUGAAUGCUUUCCUGAAAAAAUAUGAAAUGUUUCUAUCUUUCAACAUUCGCGUGCUGGAAAACCAGAUUGGACAAAAUGAUGGAUGUAACCGGUCUAACACCAAUAGAGUUUUCUGCAACACAAUGGAGGUGAAUACAACUGGACUAGAAGUGUUCUGCAAUUCAGCUUUGAAGAGAGACAUUCGUGACGUGGCAUGCCAUCUUCAAAAAAUGACCAAGAGAUGUAACUUCACUGAAAGUGUAGAGAAGAACAUGAAUGAGGUUUCCAGUAUGACAUUGGUAAUGCUCAAGGACUGUAACAACAACACUGGUAUAAAACGACAAAGAGGAAACCCAUGUCCAAAUGUAAGAUAUAUCAAAAGGCUCUGUCGUGAAUGUUUGAUAAAGGAUAUAACUUUUCAGUUUAAGUUAUGUUGGGAUCAACUGAUGUCACAUUGGACUUAAGUGGAAUAGGAUGAAGCAUUUUAAAGCUUGUUACAAUUAAGUGAAGCUUUAUGAACUACACAAUGCUCUGGUUUUUCAGAGCACACCGGUUUUCUACAAAAAUACUUUUAAGCACUGCAACUAUCUCCUCUUUGCUUAUGCAAAUCUUCUGCACCAAGUCCCUGAGAAGACUGCAGUUCUUUCGUUCUUGGGAAGAGGG